rnacentral:rRNA from 1 species
GACGAACGCUGGCGGCGUGCUUAACACAUGCAAGUCGAACGGUGAAGCGCCUUCCUUUUUGGUGGGUGUGGAUGAGUGGCGAACGGGUGAGUAACACGUGAGUAACCUGCCCCCUUCUUCUGGAUAACCGCAUGAAAGUGUGGCUAAUACGGGAUAUUCUGGGUCUGUCGCAUGAUGGGUCUGGGAAAGAUAUUGUUUCGGUGGGGGAUGGGCUCGCGGCCUAUCAGCUUGUUGGUAGGGUGAUGGCCUACCAAGGCGGUGACGGGUAGCCGGCCUGAGAGGGUGGACGGUCACACUGGGACUGAGACACGGCCCAGACUCCUACGGGAGGCAGCAGUGUGGAAUAGGGCACAAUGGGCGCAAGCCUGAUGCAGCGACGCCGCGUGAGGGAUGGAGGCCUUCGGGUUGUGAACCUCUUUCGCCAGUGAAGCAGGCCUGCCUCGUUUGUGGGUGGGUUGACGGUAGCUGGAUAAGAAGCGCCGGCUAACUACGUG